rnacentral:tRNA from 1 species
GGGGUUGUAGCUCAGUGGUAGAGCGCUUGCCUAACACAGGCAAGGCCCUGAGUUUGAUCCUCGGCACCA